GUAGGUGAACCUGCGGAAGGAUCAUUAUUGAAUUAUAAGGCUCUGAUUGUGCUGGCCCCUCGGGGCAUGUGCACGUCUCUGCCCGUUAAUCCCAACCCACCCCUGUGAACCGACCGUGUGGGGCGCUCUGUAACGGAGCCGUCCCAUGCUUUAUCAUAAACCCUGCAUGUCAUCAGAAUGUAAAAAAUCUAUAUCCUCGCCUUAAAACCGCGUCGGUAAAAAAUAAAUUAAUACAACUUUCAACAACGGAUCUCUUGGCUCUG
rnacentral:misc_RNA from 1 species